GCUGAUAUGGCUCAGUUGGUAGAGCGCACCCUUGGUAAGGGUGAGGUCCCCAGUUCGACUCUGGGUAUC
rnacentral:tRNA from 1 species